rnacentral:pre_miRNA from 1 species
UAUAAGAGAUUUUGAGUUGUUGCUUGUAACGUUUGACCACUCGUCUUAUUCAAAAUUUUUUAAGAUUAUUAUUUAUUUUAUUUGUGACUUACUUUAUUAUUUACAGUAUUUUAAGCACAACUUUUUAUUUUUUAUAUUUGCAAAAAAAAAUUGAAUAAGACGAGUGGUCAAACGUUGCAAACAGAAACUCAAAAUACUCAAA